CCUACGGGUGGCAGCAGUGAGGAAUAUUGGUCAAUGGACGAGAGUCUGAACCAGCCAAGUAGCGUGAAGGAUGACUGCCCUAUGGGUUGUAAACUUCUUUUAUAUGGGAAUAAAAUGUUCCACGUGUGGGAUUUUGUAUGUACCAUAUGAAUAAGGAUCGGCUAACUCCGUGCCAGCAGCCGCGGUAAUACGGAGGGUCCGAGCGUUAUCCGGAUUUAUUGGGUUUAAGGGGGGCGUAGGUGGAUUGUUAAGUCAGUUGUGAAAGUUUGCGGCUCAACCGGAAAAUUGCAGUUGAAACUGGCAGUCUUGAGUACAGUAGAGGUGGGCGGAAUUCGUGGUGUAGCGGUGAAAUGCUUAGAUAUCACGAAGAACUCCGAUUGCGAAGGCAGCUUACUGGACUGCAACUGACACUGAGGCUCGAAAGUGUGGGUAUCAAACAGGAUUAGAUACCCCAGUAGUC
rnacentral:rRNA from 1 species